rnacentral:rRNA from 1 species
AUUGAACGCUGGCGGCAUGCCUUACACAUGCAAGUCGAACGGUAACAGGUCUUCGGAUGCUGACGAGUGGCGAACGGGUGAGUAAUACAUCGGAACGUGCCCGAGAGUGGGGGAUAACGAGGCGAAAGCUUUGCUAAUACCGCAUACGAUCUCAGGAUGAAAGCAGGGGACCGCAAGGCCUUGCGCUCACGGAGCGGCCGAUGGCAGACUAGGUAGUUGGUGGGAUAAAAGCUUACCAAGCCGACGAUCUGUAGCUGGGCUGAGAGGACGACCAGCCACACUGGGACUGAGACACGGCCCAGACUCCUACGGGAGGCAGCAGUGGGGAAUUUUGGACAAUGGGCGCAAGCCUGAUCCAGCCAUGCCGCGUGCAGGAUGAAGGCCUUCGGGUUGUAAACUGCUUUUGUACGGAACGAAAAGACUCCUUCUAAUAAAGGGGGUCCAUGACGGUACCGUAAGAAUAAGCACCGGCUAACUACGUGCCAGCCGCCGCGGUAA